UGGCGAACGGGUGAGUAACACGUGGGUAACCUGCCCAUCAGAAGGGGAUAACACUUGGAAACAGGUGCUAAUACCGUAUAACACUAUUUUCCGCAUGGAAGAAAGUUGAAAGGCGCUUUUGCGUCACUGAUGGAUGGACCCGCGGUGCAUUAGCUAGUUGGUGAGGUAACGGCUCACCAAGGCAACGAUGCAUAGCCGACCUGAGAGGGUGAUCGGCCACACUGGGACUGAGACGCGGCCCAGACUCCUACGGGAGGCAGCAGUAGGGAAUCUUCGGCAAUGGACGAAAGUCUGACCGAGCAACGCCGCGUGAGUGAAGAAGGUUUUCGGAUCGUAAAACUCUGUUGUUAGAGAAGAACAAGGAUGAGAGUAAAACGUUCAUCC
rnacentral:rRNA from 1 species